rnacentral:rRNA from 1 species
UACAGAGGUCUCAAGCGUUGUUCGGAUUCAUUGGGCGUAAAGGGUGCGUAGGUGGCAUGGUAAGUCGGAUGUGAAAUCCCGGGGCUCAACCCCGGAACUGCAUCGAGUAUGCUGCGCUAGAGUACUGGAGAGGAGAUUGGAAUUUACGGUGUAGCAGUGAAAUGCGUAGAUAUCGUAAGGAAGACCAGUGGCGAAGGCGGAUCUCUGGACAGUUACUGACACUGAGCACGAAGGCCAGGGGAGCAAACGGG